GAUUAACGCUAGCGGCAGGCCUAAUACAUGCAAGUCGAACGGGAUUAUUGGUAGCAAUACUGAUAUGAGAGUGGCGCACGGGUGCGUAACGCGUAUGCAACCUACCUUUAACUGGGGGAUAGCCUUCCGAAAGGAAGAUUAAUACCGCAUAAAACAAUGAAGUGGCAUCACUAUAUUGUCAAAACUCCGGUGGUUAAAGAUGGGCAUGCGUAAUAUUAGCUAGUUGGGAGGUAAUGGCUCACCAAGGCUACGAUUAGUUUAGGGGGUCUGAGAGGAUGACUCCCCCACACUGGUACUGAG
rnacentral:rRNA from 1 species